CAACUGUGUGAAUUAAUGUGAACUGCAUACUGCUUUGAACAUCGACAUCUUGAACGCAUAUUGCGGCCAUGGGUUAGCCUGUGGCCACGCCUGUCCGAGGGUCGGCU
rnacentral:rRNA from 3 species